AGUCACCGGCCCAAUCCACUUCAUUUUGAAGAGGCCCGUCGACUCAGCGCUUUUACUUUUGCCAGAAAUCGUCGGAGUCGCACUCAACUCAUCUCGCCGGUAAGCUCAGCCGGACUCGGUCAUCAGCCGCCAGAAACUGCAACCAAAGUCCUCACAGGUUUUGUUUCCCUACUCGUCUCCUUUAUUGGACGCAAGAAUUAGAAGCAUUGAUAUAUUACAGUCAGAGUCACUGCCGUGUGACCAAAUGGAUCAUGGAUAUUCCUGUUGUUCAAUCACUCUCUUGCAAAAGCAAGGUAUAACUAUCUAUAAUUUAUCCACAAUGUAUUUCACCCUUCUUUAAGAUGUUACAUUUUGUAUUUUAAGUAUAAAAACUAGUCAAAGUAAUAUCAAAUUGCAAAUUUUACAAUGUCUCUUGAAACUGAAUGUUGUAUUUCUUAUUUUUCAUUUCACCAUUUUGCAUAACCUAAUUAGCUAGUUAUUGUUUAUUAAUCUUGAGACCAAGGUUUUAAAUGACUGUCGUUGCGUAGAGGUUUUCGCCAUUUCGGGGUUGCUGCCGUGUGAAUUAACCGCAAUUUCUUCCUCAUCACAAUCGGUGAAUAACAGUAUUUAUAUCGGCACCUUUUGAUACCUUUGUGUCACAGCCGUUUUCGUGGUAAUGGAUUUUUUUUUUUAACUUUGCUUGAGAUAUAGUUAAAUGAUUUCAUUUAUUUCCUUAAUCCAGUUCAUCUAGUUCCUAGAAGAGGACACCUUGAAAGGAAAAACUAUGCAUGUGAUAGCUGGUCCAGUCCAGCUCUUUGGAUCCCUUCAAUAUGCUGAGGGAACUAUUUCACUGAAAGUGGGGUCUUCUCUUAACACUCUCAAAGCAUAUAAAUAAAAAGAGGUCAUUCAUCCAUGAUUAUCUAGAUAGGAUGUCGUUUGGAGGAUAAAGAUGUUGAGGGAUCCUUUGUUCUAAUCAUCACUAUAUGUUACUACUGUGCAAGAGCUAAUUACUCUUUCAUUCUCUGGGAGGAAUAAAAAGGAGAUUGUACUUUCAAUGCAUGAAAAUGCGGCUUCUGUGAGUAUAUCAAUUACAUAUUUACUAAAUUACACUAUUCACCUUUUAUGAUAAUGGACAUCUAGGUAAUAUAUGAUUGAUGGUCUUUCAAGUUGUAACUGAUUGCAAAGUCUUAAUUGAACAAUCGCUAUUGUGAAAAAAACGAUUUUGGAGGGUAGAGAUAGUGAUAACUGAUAAAGUACAUGCACAUGCAUAACAAACCAUGAAGUUUAAAUUUAAGUUAUUGUUGUUUCAUUCA